GAUGAACGCUGGCGGCGUGCCUAAUACAUGCCAGUCGAGCGAACAGAUGAGGAGCUUGCUCCUCUGACGUUAGCGGCGGACGGGUGAGUAACACGUGGAUAACCUACCUAUAAGACUGGGAUAACUUCGGGAAACCGGAGCUAAUACCGGAUAAUAUAUUGAACCGCAUGGUUCAAUAGUGAAAGACGGUUUUGCUGUCACUUAUAGAUGGAUCCGCGCCGCAUUAGCUAGUUGGUAAGGUAACGGCUUACCAAGGCAACGAUACGUAGCCGACCUGAGAGGGUGAUCGGCCACACUGGAACUGAGACACGGUCCAGACUCCUACGGGAGGCAGCAGUAGGGAAUCUUCCGCAAUGGGCGAAAGCCUGACGGAGCAACGCCGCGUGAGUGAUGAAGGUCUUCGGAUCGUAAAACUCUGUUAUUAGGGAAGAACAAAUGUGUAAGUAACUAUGCACGUCUUGACGGUACCUAAUCAGAAAGCCACGGCUAACUACGUG
rnacentral:rRNA from 1 species